rnacentral:rRNA from 1 species
GAUGAACGCUGGCGGCAGGCCUAACACAUGCAAGUCGAACGCCCCGCAAGGGGAGUGGCAGACGGGUGAGUAACACGUGGGAACGUGCCCAAAGGUUCGGAAUAUUCCCGGGAAACUGGGAGCAAUACCGAAUGUGUCCGCAAGGAGAAAGAUUUAUCGCCUUUGGAUCGGCCCGCGUCGGAUUAGCUAGUUGGUGGGGUAAAAGCCUACCAAGGCGACGAUCCGUAGCUGGUUUGAGAGAACGUCCAGCCACACUGGGACUGAGACACGGCCCAGACUCCUACGGGAGGCAGCAGUGGGGAAUCUUGGACAAUGGGCGCAAGCCUGAUCCAGCCAUGCCGCGUGGAUGAUGAAGGCCCUAGGGUUGUAAAAUCCUUUCGUUGGGGACGAUAAUGACGGUACCCAAAGAAGAAGCUCCGGCUAACUUCGUGCCAGCAGCCGCCGUAAGAC